rnacentral:rRNA from 1 species
GGCCAGGUCGGAGCGAACUGAUUAGAAGCUUGCUUCUAUGACGUUAGCGGCGGACGGGUGAGUAACACGUGGGCAACCUGCCUGUAAGACUGGGAUAACUUCGGGAAACCGAAGCUAAUACCGGAUAGGAUCUUCUCCUUCAUGGGAGAUGAUUGAAAGAUGGUUUCGGCUAUCACUUACAGAUGGGCCCGCGGUGCAUUAGCUAGUUGGUGAGGUAACGGCUCACCAAGGCAACGAUGCAUAGCCGACCUGAGAGGGUGAUCGGCCACACUGGGACUGAGACACGGCCCAGACUCCUACGGGAGGCAGCAGUAGGGAAUCUUCCGCAAUGGACGAAAGUCUGACGGAGCAACGCCGCGUGAGUGAUGAAGGCUUUCGGGUCGUAAAACUCUGUUGUUAGGGAAGAACAAGUACGAGAGUAACUGCUCGUACCUUGACGGUACCUAACCAGAAAGCCACGGCUAACUACGUGCCAGCAGCCGCGGUAAUACGUAGGUGGCAAGCGUUAUCCGGAAUUAUUGGGCGUAAAGCGCGCGCAGGCGGUUUCUUAAGUCUGAUGUGAAAGCCCACGGCUCAACCGUGGAGGGUCAUUGGAAACUGGGGAACUUGAGUGCAGAAGAGAAAAGCGGAAUUCCACGUGUAGCGGUGAAAUGCGUAGAGAUGUGGAGGAACACCAGUGGCGAAGGCGGCUUUUUGGUCUGUAACUGACGCUGAGGCGCGAAAGCGUGGGGAGCAAACAGGAUUAGAUAU